GCUUCAGCAAGACUCACAACUCCAAACAACUGAGCUCCCCGAGUAAGCAAUUCCUGUCCCUUUUAAGGGCUCACAACUCCAAGGGGGUCCACAUGAGAAGGCUGUGAUCAAUUGAGCAAGCAGGGGGUACAUGACUGGGGGCUGCAUGCACCGGUAAUUAGAACGGAACAGAACAGGACAGGGAUUUUCACAGUGCUUUUCUAUACAAUGUCUGUGAUCUAUAGAUAACAUAGCCAAUUAGGUCAGGGGUCAAUCUUUAACUACCAGGCCCACGGUGUGGCGCCGGGCUGUCUGCCUGUGGAUUUCAUUUCUGCCUUUUAGUUUUUACUUCUUUCUUUGGAGGCAGAAAUUGGGCAUGAGACAGUAUGAGGGGUGGUCUCCUCCCUUAUCCCCACCAGAACUUUUUAAUGAAGAAUUGGAAUAUGACUUUGUUAAUAUAGUGGAAUAUAUUUGAGCUUGCAUCAUGGAUCCAGGAGAUAAUCAAUCAACUAAGAGCCAGGCACCUUUUUAAGUCCAGUAAGAAGAAACAUUUUUACAACCUGCUGUCUCUGAAGUCUGCUAUCUGAGAUUCCUCUCCACAAUAAAACUUGGUCUCCACAAUCCUUUAUCUUAACCUGAACAUUUUCUUUCUAUUGAUCCGAGGUCUUCAGAUAUACUCAACCAACUGUCAACCGGAAAAUGUGUAAAUUUGCCUAUAGCCCGGAAGCCGCCACUUUGAGUUGUUCUGCCUUUCGGACAAAUCCAUGUAUUUCUUAAAUGUAUUUCAUUGAUGUCUCAUGUCUCCCUAAAAUAUAUAAAACCAAGCUGUAACCCGACCACCUUGGCCUGAUCACAGGACCUCCCGAGGGCUGUGUCACAGGCCAUGGUCACUCAUAUUUGGCUCAGAAUAAAUCUCUUAAAAUAUUUUACAGAGUUUGACUCUUCGUCAACAGAGCCAAAAGAGG
rnacentral:lncRNA from 10 species